rnacentral:tRNA from 1 species
AGGGAAAUAGCUCAGUGGUAGAGCUCAUGCUUAGCAUGCACAAGGUCCUGGGUUCAAUUCCCAGUACCUCCA